rnacentral:rRNA from 1 species
AUUGAACGCUGGCGGCAGGCCUAACACAUGCAAGUCGAACGAGUGGCGGACGGGUGAGUAAUGUCUGGGAAACUGCCCGAUGGAGGGGGAUAACUACUGGAAACGGUAGCUAAUCCCGCAUACCAUCGGAUGUGCCCAGAUGGGAUUAGCUUGUAGGUGAGGUAACGGCUCACCUAGGCGACGAUCCCUAGCGGGUCUGAGAGGAUGACCAGCCACACUGGGACUGAGACACGGCCCAGACUCCUACGGGAGGCAGCAGUGGGGAAUAUGUGACAAUGGGCGAAAGCCUGAUGCAGCCAGGCCGCGUGUAUGAAGAAGGUCUUCGGGUUGUAAAGUACUUUCAGCGGGGAGGCGUUACCCGCAGAAGAAGCAACGGCUAACUCCGUGCCAGCAGCCGCGGUAAUUC